GGCGAGUGGAGCUGAGCGUUUUCUGGAUUUUAUCACGAUGGAGCCCUAUAUGGAGGCGUUGAGCUCACCAACGCCACCAGCCUGGUCUCCCAUCACGAGACCUGCGACCCCGCAAUCAUCAAGGGUCCGUAGCUUUCCUCCGUACCGGCCGAGGUAGCGAUUGCGAUCGCGAUCGCCGCUGAACGCGACGCAACCACUCGGCGAAGUCAUUGCCAUCUAUGACGAGUACGGUGUGCAGAUAUACGGAGCCAUCGGCGAUGCCACGGACUCACACGCCCGGAAUGAGAGUGCUGACUGCGUUGGUACCUUACGCCCGUCUCGUGUAGUUGUUCCCAGAUUGGUUACACAUGCUCCGCUCAAGCAAGGACAGCUAGUCGCGAGGCACUCAGAGGACGUAUGUGUCUUGUCUUGGCUUGACAAGAAGCGGAUCAACAUAAUAUCGACAUGCCAUGGAUCUGCCACUGUCUUGCGCGAUGUAUCAUCUUGUCCGUCAACUCGUCCCGAGCCAUUCAAGCCACACUCGAUCCUUGAUUACAAUCGCGGCGUGGGCGGUGUUGAUCUUAAAGAUCAAAUGCUCGAGCCGUAUUUGCUUGAGCGGAAACAGUGUGCCAAGUGGUAUCUCAAGCUUUUUAAGCGGCUGCUAAACUGUUCCAUUCAUAACUCACGUGUCCUGUUGGAUUCUUCCCUGAAGACGCGGCAGGAGAAUCUCUAUUUCCGUUUAGAUUUAGUGCAUGCAUUUUAGCUCAACAUCAUUCACUUAUUCCAGUAAGCCGUAGUUCACAAGCAUCAACAUCACGAUCAUCCCAUUUGCAUAACAUCGUUCAAAAUACACAUUGGCCCGUUCGCCUUUCCAACGACCGGGCAGGAAAUAGACAAAGCCGACAGAAAUGCGUCGUUUGUCUGCUGGAAGGGCGGAAGCUUCAAAGGACUUACUAUAAGUGCGAGGAUUGCAGUGUGCCACUGUGUAUUGAGAACUGCUUCAAAUCAUAUCAUAUAUAACCAGCCUAAUCAUUCAUCAUGCUUAUUCACUCAUUUCAUCAAGCUUUUACUUUUACUUCUGACAAUUGUCCUUUUGGAUUAGAAGAAGAAUAGUGGUAUGAAUGUUAUAUUUCGAGUCGAGUGAGUGUGUGUUGUGGCAAUGGUUGGCAAACUGUGCGGCUCCUCGACUCUUUGGCUGCGGCUCUUUCACUAAAUGUUUAAUGCAGGAAACAAAAGCAUAAAUAUUUAAAAUGGGCAAACAGCUCUUUUUCAACCGCAACAGCGAGUACUAAGAUACUACUUAUCCUGCAUGAAAAAAACAAAAACACAAUCUAACUGUCAAUAUAAAAGAAGUGAGGUUGACAUAGCAAAGUUUAUAGUUUUAAUUAAUUUGUAUUUAUUGUUGGAAGUAUAUUUGUUUCCUUUUUUUUAAAACUUUACAUCCGUUUGUUGGGACUUGGGAUUUUGUGCCCACAUAUAUCUCCGCAUUUGUAAUAAACAAUAGUAUCUGCAACCCGUACGAUGUUGUCGAUUGCUCACUCAAGCGAAUGAACGCCCAAACUUCAACUUCAACUUCGCUCUCGUGGGCAACCGACAACUUAUCACACUUGUUGCACAAUAUACUAUUAAUUGUGUUUCGUUAAAAUAUAAAACCAGCUCAAAUCUACUUUUACUGCUAAUUAUUUCCAUAAAAACGUAUCUACUAAAGCAAAGCAUAAAUUUAAAAAAAAAAGCUUUGUACCUAAACUACGAUUUUGUGUUUCUUAUAAUAUUUGGCUCUUUUUGAUGAUGAGUUUGCCGACCAUAGCA